GGAGGAAGCAGGGGAUCGCAAGACCUUGCGCUUUUGGAGCGGCCGAUGCCUGAUUAGCUUGUUGGUGAGGUAAAAGCUCACCAAGGCUUCGAUCAGUAGCUGGUCUGAGAGGACGACCAGCCACACUGGGACUGAGACACGGCCCAGACUCCUACGGGAGGCAGCAGUGGGGAAUUUUGGACAAUGGGGGCAACCCUGAUCCAGCCAUGCCGCGUGAGUGAAGAAGGCCUUCGGGUUGUAAAGCUCUUUCAGCCGGAACGAAACGGUUACGGUUAAUACCCGUGACUACUGACGGUACCGGAAGAAGAAGCACCGGCUAACUACGUGCCAGCAGCCGCGGUAAUACGUAGGGUGCGAGCGUUAAUCGGAAUUACUGGGCGUAAAGCGUGCGCAGGUGGUUUUGUAAGUCAGAUGUGAAAUCCCCGGGCUUAACCUGGGAACUGCGUUUGAAACUACAAGGCUAG
rnacentral:rRNA from 1 species